rnacentral:rRNA from 1 species
AUGGCGCCGCCGUCGCAACUGGUGCUUGCGGCCUCCUCCACCGACGCCGGCGUGGCCGCGUGGGACCUCCGCACGGGGGCCGAGGCCAUCCGCCACCGCCCCUGCGCCUCCCGGCCACGUGCCAUCGCUGCCGUCGCCGGCCGCUUCCUCGCCGCCGCCCAAGUCGCCGCCGGCAACUCCGCCCCCAUCCACUACUACCACUGGGACAAGCCUCAGGUGGCUGUGAAGAGCUUCCCCGCCGAGCCAAUCCGCGCGCUCAUUGCUGAUCCAGAGGGGAACUAUCUCAUCGGCGGCGGUGUGUCCGGUGACAUAUUCUUUUGGGAGGUGGCUAGUGGAGAGCUGCUUGUCCGAUGGCAUGCUCACUAUCGUGAUGUUAGGUGCCUAGCCCUGUAUGACAUGUUGCUUGUCUCGGCGUCCGAGGAUGGGAGCAUCAAAGUUUGGGAUCUGCUCACGAUGCUUGAUGAGCAAUCAAGGUUUGAGGCAAAGACACCAUACCUAUACAACUUUAAUCAGCACACACUUCCUGUAACUGAUAUUGCUUGUUUUCAUGGAGCAAUUGCUUUGUCAUCUUCAGAGGAUCGUACAUGUAAAAUAUGGAGUCUAUCAGAGGGCAGAAUGCUGAGAAGUAUUUCAUUUCCUGCUAUCAUUGAUUCUGUCGAAAUAGACCCAAGAAGUCAUAUUUUCUAUGCUGGUGGUAGAGAUGGAAAGAUAUAUGUUACUGCUAUGGGUGUUGAUGUCUCCUCUCAGGGCCGUGAUGAUUUGUCUAUUCUUGGUAUUCUGGAUGACCACAGCAAGGCGGUAACGAGCUUAACAUCAAGUACAGAUGGCCUUCUACUAGUCUCUGGUUCGGAGGAUGGUAAUGUUCGGGUUUGGGAUACCAGAAGUCAGCAAGUAACCCGGAAAUUCAAACACUCCCAAGGUCCAGUAACUAAUGUUCUCAUAGUAACACCCAAAAGAUUAAAUCUGCCACCUUUACAACCAUUGCGUAAAGUGUGUGCAGCGAGUGGCGAAGUUGAACCACGGGCUGUAAUUCUGCCCAACCCUGAAAAUGAUGUUCAUAUUGCUGGAAAUCUCAGCUCUAACCUUCUAGAGCAGCUCUUGGAUGCACAGCAGCAGCAUGGCAAUUCUAGGUUAUUUGAUUCUGGGGUGAGCACUCUGAAUGGCGUACCAAACCAACAGGGUACAGAAUGGAGAAGUAAAUACCUAGAGUUGCAGGAUCUCUUUGUGCAUGAGGUUCUUGGUGAUAUGCCAUCUUAA